UUAACGAGGUGUAUUGCAUUUUGCAUUUUGGUUGCGAGGGGGGCUAGUUGCCCGUUAAAU
rnacentral:tRNA from 1 species